rnacentral:tRNA from 1 species
UGGCCGGUAGAUCAGGUUGGAAGAUCACCGCCUUGGCAGGCCCGAAUCGGGGGUUCAAGUCCCCCCCGGUCCA